rnacentral:rRNA from 1 species
UGGGGAAUCUUGCGCAAUGGGCGAAGGCCUGACGCAGCAACGCCGCGUGGGGGAUGAAGGCUCUCGGGUUGUAAACCCCUUUCAGCAGGGACGCGGUACCUGCAGAAGAAGCCCCGGCUAACUACGUGCCAGCAGCCGCGGUAACACGUAGGGGGCAAGCGUUGUCCGGAUUUAUUGGGCGUAAAGAGCUCGUAGGUGGCUGAGUAAGUCGGAUGUUAAAUCCCCAGGCUCAACCUGGGACACCACCCGAUACUGCUCGGCUAGAGUCCGGUAGGGGAGCGUGGAAUUCCUGGUGUAGCGGUGAAAUGCGCAGAUAUCAGGAGGAACACCAGCGGCGAAGGCGGCACUCUGGGCUGGUAUUGACGCUGAGGAGCGAAAGUGUGGGUAGCAAACAGGAUUAGAUACCCCGGUAGU